GACGGGGGGGGCAAGUGUUCUUCGGAAUCACUGGGCGUAAAGCGCACGUAGGCGGCUUUUUAAGUCAGGGGUGAAAUCCUGGAGCUCAACUCCAGAACUGCCUUUGAUACUGAGAGCUUGAGUCCGGGAGAGUGAGUGGAACUGCGAGUGUAGAGGUGAAAUUCGUAGAUAUUCGCAAGAACACCAGUGGCGAAGGCGGCUCACUGGCCCGGUACUGACGCUGAGGUGCGAAAGCGUGGGGAGCAAACAGG
rnacentral:rRNA from 1 species